rnacentral:rRNA from 1 species
CGGGUUACGAAUUCGCCCCUUAGAGUUUGAUAUGGCUCAGGACGAACGCUGGCGGCGUGCCUAACACAUGCAAGUCGAACGGAACUAUUUUGAAAGAUUUCUUCGGGAUGAUUGAUUUAUAGUUUAGUGGCGGACGGGUGAGUAACGCGUGAGUAACCUGCCUUCAAGAGGGGAAUAACAUUCUGAAAAGAAUGCUAAUACCGCAUAACAUAUCGGUACCGCAUGAUACUGAUAUCAAAGAUUUUAUCGCUUGAAGAUGGACUCGCGUCCGAUUAGUUAGUUGGUGAGGUAACGGCUCACCAAGACGACGAUCGGUAGCCGGACUGAGAGGUUGAACGGCCACAUUGGGACUGAGACACGGCCCAGACUCCUACGGGAGGCAGCAGUGGGGGAUAUUGCGCAAUGGGGGCAACCCUGACGCAGCAACGCCGCGUGAAGGAUGAAGGUUUUCGGAUUGUAAACUUCUUUUCUUAAGGACGAAGAAUGACGGUACUUAAGGAAUAAGCUCCGGCUAACUACGUGCCAGCAGCCGCGGUAAUACGUAGGGAGCAAGCGUUGUCCGGAUUUACUGGGUGUAAAGGGUGCGUAGGCGGCAAUGCAAGUCAGAUGUGAAAUCUAUGGGCUCAACCCAUAAACUGCAUUUGAAACUGCGUUGCUUGAGUGAAGUAGAGGCAGGCGGAAUUCCCCGUGUAGCGGUGAAAUGCGUAGAGAUGGGGAGGAACACCNGUGGCGAANGCGGCCUGCUGGGCUUUAACUGACGCUGANGCACGAAAGCGUGGGUAGCAAACAGGAUUAGAUACCCUGGUAGUCCACGCUGUAAACGAUGAUUACUANGGUGUGGGGGGCCUGU